UUAAACUCAACUAGACAACAUAUCAGGAAGAUAUCAAAAUUGUCUAGGGAUAUAAGGAGUGGUGAAGAAUAUUGCGCAACUAGGAGUGGAUGAAACUAGGAUCUAGUCAGAGUAACAGUGGUUACUUGAAGUGACUGGGAUAUUAGGAGUGGUGAAAAAACAUAGUUGUAAUUUUAUUGAAGAUUAUAGUGGAAAUCUCUAAGGUAUUAGAGGAGACUGGGUAUAGCUCAAUGGAGUGAACCAGUAUAAAAACAAUGGUGCGUUUAUUGUUUUAUUCUCUUUAAAUGCUUCUCUUACAAAUCUUAC
rnacentral:lncRNA from 1 species